GAGACAGCAGCCGCCGCGGGAAUACAGAGGGUGCGAGCGUUAAUCGGAUUUACUGGGCGUAAAGCGUGCGUAGGCGGCUAAUUGAGUCGGAUGUGAAAUCCCCGAGCUUAACUUGGGAAUUGCAUUCGAUACUGGUUAGCUAGAGUGUGGGAGAGGAUGGUAGAAUUCCAGGUGUAGCGGUGAAAUGCGUAGAGAUCUGGAGGAAUACCGAUGGCGAAGGCAGCCAUCUGGCCUAACACUGACGCUGAGGUACGAAAGCAUGGGGAGCAAACAGGAUUAGAUACCCGCGUAGUUCCUGUCUCUUAUAC
rnacentral:rRNA from 1 species